GCCAUAACUCAUCCAUCAGAAGGUCAUAACUCAUCCAUCCAGAGUGCGAUUGAGGUCAAUGAGUACUUGAUGGAAAGCUUGUUUAGUAAGAUUUCAAAUAGAAUUGAUAUCACCUCAAUAUCACAUCAACAAGACCUCCAAAUCAUCAAGACACGUGCUGAUAUUUCUAUCGAGUACUACGACAUCGUCGUAGGCCUAGCUAUUAAUCACCGUUGGGACCUUGGACCAAGUGGGAGCACUCCCCAACCAUGUGGAGAACAUCUAAAGUAUGUCCAAGAAUGUACUAGUUCUUUGCCACCAC
rnacentral:lncRNA from 1 species